GGGAGAGAAUAGAACACAAAAUAGAAACCAAAGUCAGAGAAAGAUUUAAGAAAAGAAAAGAGAAUCAAGCUAAAUAUAGUGGGAGUGAGUUAGUGAGUGAGAGAGACAAAGAGAUCGAAAAUGCGGACUAGUUUCUGAGCUGAAUUUGAUCUCACCAUUCACAAGUGGAGGUAAAUCUAGAAACUUGUAGGGUUUCCUAGAGGGUGGAAAUGUUAGGUCGUUCAUCAUUCUCCAGAUCCGGAAGUUUCCGGCCGGAAAAUCUAGGUCAAAAUGCCCUUGCCAUGAUUGGAAACCUAUGUUUUACAUUGUUUGUACUUGGAGUGGUAAUCUUCACUAUCAUAGCAGCUACAUACCAACCGGAAGAUCCUCUUUUUCAUCCAUCAACUAAAAUUUUAAAUUUCCUUGUAUCUGAUUCCAAUGCCACUUUUGUGUCUGAUAACACUGUUGCUAAGACGGGUGAAGAUUUGGUGCCUUUUAAUCAGACUGACUUAACUGGGGUCUUAAAUGUUACCGAUGUUUCUGUAACUGCUCCUGGGAAAGAAGAUACUGUUGAAUGUGAAGGUGAUAUCAAUACACCAAUUGAUUGCAAGGACCCAGACAUUUUUCAUCUAAUGAUGACUUAUGCCAUAGAGUAUUUUAAGGAUAUUCACUUUUACCGGUUUGGGAAGCCUGUUGCUGGAUCAAACUCAACUACUUGUGACAUGGCGUGGAGAUUUAGACCCAAGGAUGGAAAAGCAGCUGGUUUUUAUAAGGAUUAUCGUAGGUUCGUUAUUCUGCGGAGUGAGAAUUGUACUUUCACUGUGACUGGGGUUGGAGAAUAUCAUACAGGAGUAAAUGCAAGGAAGAAGAAGAGGAACCAAAAAGGUGGCUUUGAGAAGAACAAACCUGGCAAAGGUAAUACAGCUGUUGCUGCUCUGCCUGUUUUUGGUGAAGAUGUAAAUGAUGCACUUCCAGUGGUUGAAUCUGAAGGCUCAUUCAGACGCGGGAAGUACUUGAUUUACUCUGGUGGUGGAGAUAGAUGCAAGAAUAUGAACCACUACCUAUGGAGUUUGUUGUGUGCUCUGGGUGAAGCUCAAUAUUUGAAUCGUACAUUGGUCAUGGAUCUGACUAUAUGUUUGUCUUCGAUCUAUACUUCAUCAAAUCAGGACGAAGAGGGGAAAGAUUUCAGGUUUUAUUUUGAUUUUGAGCAUUUGAAAGAGUCUGCUUCUGUAUUGGACCAAAAUCAGUUCUGGACUGACUGGACGAAAUGGCAGAAGAAAGAUCAUAUGGGCCUUCAUCUUGUGGAGGAUUUCAGGGUCACGCCAGUGAAGCUGUCUGACGUAAAGGAUUCCUUGAUUAUGAGGAAGUUUGGGUCAGUGGAGCCGGACAAUUACUGGUACAGGGUGUGUGAAGGGGAAACUGAGUCAAUUAUCCAACGGCCAUGGCACUUGAUAUGGAAAUCUAAACGGUUGAUGGAGAUAGUUUCCGAGAUUACAUCUAAGAUGAACUGGGAUUUCGACUCUGUUCAUGUUGAAAGAGGCGAGAAGGCGAAGAACACACAGCUCUGGCCUAACUUGGCGAGUGAUACUUCACCUGAAUCACUUAUGUCGUCGCUGAGGGACAAAAUUGAGGACGGGAGGAACCUUUACAUCGCAACAAAUGAACCAGAGACUUCAUUCUUCGACCCAUUGAAGGACAAGUACACUACUCAUUUCCUUGACGACUAUAAGGGUCUUUGGGACGAGAACAGUGAGUGGUACUCAGAGACCACGAAGCUCAAUGGUGGGAAUCCAGUAGAUUUUGAUGGAUAUAUGAGAGUGUCGGUUGACACCGAAGUGUUCUUGAGAGGGAAAAAACAGAUUGAAACUUUCAAUGAUCUCACUUCCGAUUGCAAAGACGGUGUUAAUACCUGUAGCGCAUCUACUUGAUUGAUCUGUUGACACCCCUUUACUUCCUUAGAGGAGGAUAACCAAUGCUAAACUGAGGAUUGAGACAAUCGCAAGUGUACUUUUCCAGGUGAAAGAGGUCACUGCACCUUCUCCAGUAAUAGGAUUAAGACAGUCUCAAGUUUGCUUUUCCAGGUGGAAGAGGUGAUUUUUCUUUGUUGGUGAUCAAUCAACUCGAGUCAGUAGCUUGUUUUUCCCUUCAAAAUUUCCUGUUUUAACAGAUGAUAAGAAUUUUCUCUUGUUAGUAGGGCAUUUUCAUAGUUGAAAGCCUAAUAUCUAGAGUCUGAGACUUCUGACAAUGGGAUUGCCAUCACAGAUUGCGAGUAAAGUUUGAUUACUUUCCAUUUCCCA